UCCGUGGGAACGGAGGCCCAGGGAGGAUCAGACACUCCCAGACAUAUCUGUUGGAGAUCCUGAAGCUGAGGAUCCCAUGAGUUCCACACAGAAGCACCAGCCCCUCCAGGUUGCUCAAUCCCAGAAGGCUUAGGUGGUUCGUGCCCACAGAUGGUGGACCAGGAGGUCCUGGCACCUCCACAUAAACAGUGGUUUAACAGCUACCCUCCGAUGAAGAUAACUCUGAGAGGACUCUGGUGCACAAUAAGAAGGUGCAGCCAUGCAGGGGAGCGCAAAGACCGAGGGCGGCCACAAGAAAAGUGUAGGAAGCAUUUUACCUGUUGUUGGAGGAGGUCAUCAAGAAGACGCGACUGCCAGUUGACCUGCAAGCUGAACCUGGACAAUCGGAGGCUCUCCACCCCUCCCGUGUCCUUGGAAGGUGCAUUCUGCUUGCCUUCCCCGCUCCCAGAAGCUGCUCCAAGGGCACAGCCUUAAGAUAGAAAUGUGGUGUUGAGCCUGUCUGCACUGGGUACCUGACUGAUCCAGUUAAAGCUCCUACAUAAACUUUUAAGAUUCUGGUGGGUGGGUGCAGAGAUCUACUCGUCUUGCAGCCUUUCAAGAUAAGCUUCCUGAGUUGGGGGGCACCUACCUGUGAGGAAGAGCACUGCCACGGUCAGCCCCACAGCUGUCAUCCUGAAGGGACCUGGGUGACCUCCAGCACUUCAGGAAUCUCCCACAGCAUGGCUUGAUGAGUGGUGUGUAGUACCUAGUUGUCUAUCCUGGUUGUAAGUCCUUCCGGUUCUUCUAUGUGGGAUGCUGCCACAGCCUGGCUUGGUGAGUGAUGUGUACAUCUGUGCCCAGGAUCUGAACCAGUGAACCCCAGGCUGCUGAAACAGAGCGUGAGACUUAACCACUCAGCCAGGGGGCUGGCCCCCUAAACUUUCUUUAAGGUAUGUUCAUAUGAAAUUCUUAAAAAUCUGGUAUCUCCUGGUAUCAUGUUAUCAAUCAUAAUUUUAAAAUGUAUGUCACAGAAAUAACCAAGUUCCCUGGUC
rnacentral:lncRNA from 1 species